CAUACCAGGAUUAGAAACACGACUCGGGCCUUUCUGUGUGUCCCCAUACAGGAUAAGAACACGACUCUGGGCAUUUCUGUUUUCACUUCACUUAGUAAAUACAUGAAAGCGCCACAAGGUGGUAGCAGAGUAAGGAAUGACUGACUGUUCAGCUGUUUCAUUAUUUGUGACUACUGCGUUGGGACUUUGGGGAUUGGAUUGAGAGACACAGGAAAUCCUGCCGGGUGAAGUGUACCAAUCCACGGGUGUAAACUACAUCAGCCUCUGGCCCUGACAUACUGUCAGACCUCCACCUCCUUGACCUGCCUCUGACCCUGACUCUGACAGACCUCCACCUCCUUGACCUGCCCCUGCCCCUGACAGACCUCCACCUUCUUGACCUGCCCCUGACAGACCUCCACCUUUUAGACCUGCCUCUGACCCUGACUCUGACAGACCCUCCA
rnacentral:lncRNA from 1 species